CAUAUUGGAAACCAGGACAAUCUUUUUCUCCACUGCCCAUUUGCUCAACUCUGUUGGGCAUAUAUCUGUCCAACUUGGACUCGAAAUUUUAUGGGCGUAUAGGAAUAAGUUAAGGUCCUCAAACAAUUACUGCAGGUACCUUUUGCCAUGGAAAUAAUCAUUCUGGUGACUUGGGCAAUCUGGACCACAAGGAAUGAUUUCAUUUUCAAAGGCACACAACCAAACCUCUACAACUGCAGAAGAAAAUUCAAGGAUGAGCUCAAAUGGAUCAUUUACAGAGCAAAAAGGAAGGAAUACUGUGGAUUUUCAUACUAGAUUCAGGCUUUCAGAUGA
rnacentral:rRNA from 1 species